rnacentral:rRNA from 1 species
AGUGAACGCUGGCGGUAGGCCUAACACAUGCCAGUCGAACGGCAGCACAGUAAGAGCUUGCUCUUACGGGUGGCGAGUGGCGGACGGGUGAGGAAUACAUCGGAAUCUACUUUUUCGUGGGGGAUAACGUAGGGAAACUUACGCUAAUACCGCAUACGACCUACGGGUGAAAGCAGGGGAACUUCGGACCUUGCGCGAUUGAAUGAGCCGAUGUGGGAUUAGCUAGUUGGCGGGGUAAAGGCCCACCAAGGCGCCGAUCCGUAGCUGGUCUGAGAGGAUGGUCAGCCACCCUGGAACUGGGACACGGUCCAGACUCCUACGGGAGGCAGCAGUGGGGAAUAUUGGACAAUGGGGGCAAGCCUGGUCCAACCCUACCGCGUGGGUUGAAGAGGCCUUCGGGUUGGAAAGCCCUUUUUUUGGGAAAAAAAAGCAGCAGGUUAAUACCCCGCUGUUCUGACGGUACCCAAAGAAUAAGCACCGGCUAACUUCGUG